rnacentral:lncRNA from 1 species
GAGCAAGAGAAGAGGAAAAGCUUGAAGCUAACGGAAUUUGCCGGAUUAACUCAGGUAAGGGGGGUUUAUCAUCGGUUAACGGGUAUUAUGUGAUGAUAUGUACUGGGUAGUAAUAAACUAUUGUUUUACCUCUGAUUAGAUUGAUGUAUGCUGAAAAUGGUGAAAUAUUGGAUGAACGAAAUUGGGAUUUUAAUCGAAGGAAUUCGUAGAAAUUAUAUGUAGUGAUGUUAGGAUUUGUGAAAUCGAAUAGGGGAUGAU